CGGAUACAGUCACACCUUGUCUCCUCGGCUCCUGGCUCCUGUUGGACGCCACUCGCCACCCCACUUUCCAAACCAGACCACAGCCGAAAACCCCCGAUCAUGCCGCCGCCGGUCGAACCCUACAUCCCUUCGUUCACCGCCGGCUUGUCCGCGCACGAGGCCGCCGAUGCCGACAAAGACUACCUCUACUUCCUCCGCCACGUCCGCCUCGACGGAGACGCCUACACGGUCGUGAUUCCGUCCAAGGACGGCGCCUCCUGUCCUCCCCAGAUCAUCAGGUACGAACAACCGCACUCCGAUCACAAUGCCGGGGCCCCCGUCGCGGGCUCUGAAUGCGGGAGACAAAGGGCCCAUCCCCCGUCGGAGGAGAACUCUUGGGCUACGGGUGAGGCCGCCCCACACGGCGUGAAGCGCAAGGUUCCAGGCGCGAGCCCCGCCGGCGAGGUCCGAAGCGGUGCUGUCCGUAUGGAAGAGGACACCCCGACAUUGGUGGCGAAGUCCGCGUGGUAUGACUUGCAACCCGACAUCGACGAUGACUACCGCUUCUUCCUCCAGAAUGCUCGCGUGGUGAAUGACAAAUUGGUGUUCAAGACGGGGAACUGUUCAAUAACUAUCGGGGACCAUAGUGAUGCUGAGGAGCACGACGACACCGAGGAGGAAGAGAAAGAGGAGGAAGGGGAAGGGGAAGAGGAUGAUGAAGAAGAAGCAGACGACCUUCCUGCGUCAGGGCAGUCGGGGGAGGACGGUAUCGGUAUGGAGGAGGCCGGUCCUGUGUCAGAGACAGAGGACGGUGUUGACUCGGAUUUGCCAAUUCCAAAGGUGAAGGAUGAAGUGGUGAGCAAAAAUGAAGAGGAUGAUGUGGGGCCUGGAUCAGAUUUGCAUAUUACUAACGAUCAGGUGUAUUGUGAGACGGAGAAGGUGAAAGAAGGAGGAGGGAAUACGUUGAAUGAUCUAGCCAGGAGAACAACAGAUUUGGAUCCUUUGGACAAGAAGGAAGCAAGCUCAAGCAAGGGACAUCUGGCCAUGCCUCUCAAUCCUUCGGAAUUACAAGGCGUUAUAUGGCCCCCACAUAUCAAUGAGAGGCCAAAUUCAGUUUUUAAAGAGAAGUUGAUUGAGUUUCUCAUCAAACCAUUUACACAGGAAGAAUAUGAUAGGUAUUUUGCUCUGGCUAGUGAUCGCAUUCCAAUGGUCAAAGAACGAAGGACCCGUAAUACGGUGGCAUACUAUCACUGGACGCAUGAGAUGAGCAAGUCAUACUUUGAUAGGUACCCAGGAGCUCUGCCUUGCAGAAGCAAGAAACAGAAGGCUCUGCCCUUGGAUGCCAUAUGAAGAGACAAUGCUGAGAGCACAGCCAGCCUAAGGCAAAGGUCCUCCCGCUACUGGCUGCUGAAAGCAAGAUGUCGUUGCGCGAUAUCCUCUUUUACCUAUACCACGACCAGCAGCACUAUCUUGCUCAGCAAUUCAGUCUCCAACGCAAUAACUAUACAAAUGGCUUGGCUCUUUUGCGUGGGCUUUUCUUCUGGUUGCAGAACAUUGAGCUAGAAGACCAAUUCAGACCAUGGAGCGAUGAAUUUAAAAAGUACCGAGUUGUCAUGGAAUGUUUGUAGAGGGUUUACCCAUACUAGCCAUUACUCCAUCCAGUUCAGAAAGUCGUUUGGUAAGUUAGCGCGGUCGUCUCUGUGCAACUCUCUGACCUCAUGUGGUAUUCGGUGAUACGUAUCUAUUAGCAGAAACUAUGGUAUUGUGUACUGUAACCCAAUUCGAGUGCCCUAGAAACAGAAGGGGUAUCUAAACUCGAGCAAACCCUUAUUUUGCCCA